GCAUGAGAAUUUAUCUUUUCUAAAGUUCAAGGAAAAAUAUGCAAAAUGAUCUUCAGGUAUUACAUCUUAGUGGCAUAAAACAAGUUUUUGAAAUCAGGAAGACUGUUCAAAUGCUAAUUCUCUGUGUAAGCGGUAUGAUCUUAGUAAUGAUCUCAAUCAUUUAAGCUGAAAUUUUUUUGUACCAUAUAAAUUUUAUUUUUCAAAGGUUUUAUUUUUUCAUUUACUUGAAAGAUAGGGUGACAGAGAGAGAGGGAGAGAGAGAGAGAGAGAUGGAUGUUCCAUCUGUUGGUUUACUCUCCAAAUGUUCCCAACAGCUAGGGCUGAGCUAGGCCAAUGCCAGGAGCCUAGAACUCCAUCUGGGUUCCCAUAUGAGUGGGAGGGACCCAAGUACUUGGGCUAUCAUCUGCCUUCCCAGUCACAUUAACAGGUAGCUGGAUCUGAAGCAGAAUAUUCAAGACACCAAUUGGCAUUCCAAUAUGGGAUGCCAGCAUACCAAGAAGAGGCUUAACCCACUGUGCCACCGUGCCCUUCCCAAAGCCUGGUUUUCUUACUUGAAAAAGAAGAGAGUUAGAUCUGAGAAGUACUUGAAAAGCUCAUAUGAAAACAGAAUUAAAAGAGCUUCUGAAGUGGUCUCCUGCCUUAAUUCUUCCACAUCGCCUAGCCUAAUAGGAUCACCCCACUACAGCAGGUUGGUUUUUAGUCUUUAAAGCUUUCAAAUGUUGUUAUGCAAAGCAUAGUAUUAAAUGUACUGGCAGUAUUGGUAUCACCAAGAAACUCAUUAGAGAUGCAAAAUGGGAAGUUUCUCGUCGGGUGAUUUGCAGGUUUUUACAGUGUGAAAAGCUUUAAUCUGCUUCACAGUGUGCUAGUGAGAUAGCCAGGUAAGCAAAGUGGCUUGUGAUUGGGCAUCUGCUCCUCCACACCUUACUCCUCUUGUACUGCCAGCAACUCCCCACUACCCAGAGUUCUAGAAUAUAAUGUGUCCUUCCACCUCCUGGGACUUUCAUACAUACUGCAAUUUGCUUGGACAUCCCUCCUCUGUGACGUCUCCCCAGACUGAUCCAAAGAAGUUACUUCUUUUCCCCCAUGAAAUUCUUCUGUCAUCAGUGUCACAUUAUGUUGCCGUGGCUUUUUGUUGAUCUGCUUUCUUGGAUUGUGACCAUGUGGAAAGUAUAGCCUGUUUUUAUGUUUAAUCCUUGUAUCCUGUAUCUAGUGUACUCUAGGGAAUAGAAUUGAUUGAGUAGAAUAGGUACUCAAUCAAUAUUUGAUGAAUUGAGUUGAAUACUAAGGGUGUCAUUUGCUCAAGGACUCAAUGUUCAUAAAGAUCAAUGUCACUGCAUUUGGUUAUGUAACACAACCUAUGAUGUAACUCACAACCCCUAGAGUUGUGCAGUGUACGAGUGUACAUGACAACUUCAGUAAAAAUUGUUUGGCUCAUAGAUUAGUUAGAUGUUAGUGGUGAAAAGUGACAGAAACUAGCUAAGGCCGCCUUAUGCUAAAAAUGAGAAUUCAUUGAAAGAAUAAUGGGAUAUUUAGAGAACAUAACCAGAACUGAAAAUUGAAAGCCUUUCAUGACUUUUUCUCUAUUUCUCAUAGCUGUUUCCCUUUGUAGAUCAGUAUUAUUUUUAUUCUAGCUAUAGCUGGCUUCAUUUCUCAUUGUCACAUACAAACGUAUGGCUCUCCCAUUGCC
ensembl:lncRNA